rnacentral:lncRNA from 1 species
UGCCAAAAUACUCAAUAAAAUUCUCACAAACAGAAUCCAAGAACACAUCAAAGUGAUUAUUCACCAUGAUCAAGUAGGCUUCAUCCCAGGGAAAUCCAUCAAUGUUGUCUACUAUAUAAACAAACUCAAGCAAAGAAACCACAUGAUCAUCUCAUUAGAUGCUGAGAUAGCACUUGACAAAAUUCAGCACCCCUUCAUGUUAAAAGUCCUGGAAAGAUCAGGAAUUCAAGGCUCAUAUUUAAACAUAGUAAAAGCAAUAUACAACAAACC